GACUCUCGGCAACGGAUAUCUCGGCUCACGCAUCGAUGAAGAACGUAGCAAAAUGCGAUACUUGGUGUGAAUUGCAGAAUCCCGUGAACCAUCGAGUUUUUGAACGCAGUUGCGCCCAAGCCAUCCGGUGGAGGGCACGCCUGCCUGGGCGUUAACGCAUCGCG
rnacentral:rRNA from 1 species